AGCAAUAAAUUAUUUAUUCAAAACAACUAUACAAAAUAACACUUUUGGAGAUUAACACUUUUACAUUUUUUUAAAGUGCAUCUCUUCACUGCUACAAUAUUUGGUUUACUAAUUUACACUGUACAUUCAUAAUCUGUAAAAAAAAUAAUUGAUGAGUAUUUUUCCAGUUGGAUGUUAGUAACAUUGACAGGGAGCACAGAUUCCAUUCUAGAAAUCACUUUUGAAGUGUGUACAUAUACAAACUAUUCAGAAUCAGAAGACAGCACUGUGACAAUAGCAAGAGUAUCACUAGAAAGUGGAAUUACAGUAUACUGUACGACAAUAGGUUCUCUUAUAAAAGAUUAUGUAAAAGUGCAAAAUAUAUACACCCUGCCUUUAUAUUACUUCCUAGUUUAAUCUUUAAUAUUUAUUAAAUCUUGUUCUGACUUCCUGAACUGAAGAAAAAAUUACAAUAAUUUUACACUAUGUACUACAAUCAUGCACAUGUUGCAAGGCUGCAUUUAUUAAAAAAACAAAACAAAACAAAACAACAACAACAAAAAAACAAAGCAAAUCUUCACACACAAGAACACCUUUUUUAAAAAAAUUACCAGAUAAAACGUAACAAAACAUAUCAUGAAUAUAACUUUAGACGUAAAAUAUUAUGAAUAUGAAAAAAUCUUGUUAAUUUUUUUUUCUGUCAGUUAUAGGAUUGUAAAUAGUUCCAUUUGCAGUCUACAAAGACGAUAAAAUUUACUGCAUCAUUUUGUUCUGCAGUAUUUUGGCCCUCAAUUGUUUCCAGUACACUGGAGAAAAAUCCACAAUUUGCAGAUAGUCUAAAAAAAAAAAAAUUAAUUGCCACAUAGCCAAUAUGAAUAACAUUCAAACAGUCCCUAUGUGCCCAUAUAAAUAUAAACAUACAUUAGGUUAUGCUCUAUUAUGAUCUGUUAAAUAUUUUAAUAUACUUUUAGGACAGAGCUAGUGUACUUUGAGGAAAUGCUUAAUAUAUGGUUAUUGCUUGCCAGGAUUAUACUAAUUAAAAUAUUUUUCUUAAAAAAGAACCUGUGCAUUUACAGCAUGUAAAAUUUAAAACAGAAAACCUUGUGUUCAUGCUCACUUCAGUUUUUUUUUCCUGUACCAGAGAAUUCAAUACACUUGAUCUUUUAAAAUUUAUGUCAUUUCCUGGAGGACGAUCUUUCCUUUUCAGCAAGGAAAGAUUUACAGGCUGGGAGUGAGAAUGAAUGGCAGUUGUGGGGGGAAACUUGAGUGUUAAUGCCACCAUUAAUGACUUACUCCUAGACACUCUGCAUUCUAAGGGAAUUCCAAUGAUGGCCAGUAAUUUGCAAAAGCAUUGGUCUGGAAGUGGUUUAAGAAAUUUCCUAUGAAAUGUGUAAGAUGUUAACAUCUUUGGCCGAGAAAAAGGUGGCAUUCAAAAUAAUAUAUGAAACACACACAUUUUUCAAUGAAGAAUAGUAUGCAGCAAUCAGCCUGUUGAAUGGGGUCCUGGGCAAUCUGAUCUAGUAUGAGAUCUGGAGAUUGUUGGCCCUACCUGUAGCAGGAGGGUUGGAACUUGAUGAUCCUUGGGGUCCCUUCCAACCCAACCCAAGUCAUUCUAUGAUUCUAUGAUUCUGUGCUGAGGAAACACUUUGUUAUGACUGGAGCGCAAAUAAACUUGAGACAGUAUUGUUGGUAAUACUCAUGCUCAGGAGAAAAGUGUUAAUGUCACAGUUAAAAAAAAAAAACAAACUCCAUGCUUCACUUCUACAAUGUGUGUUUUUUCAUGUUUCCUCCAAGAAAUUAAAAUCACUUUUUACUUUGUAAAAGAGAACACACAUUAUAGGGAGGAGGGGAAGCAGGGGCCACAUAUUUCACACUGUUCACCUUGGGAAGGAAAUUCACACAGUUGUAAUACAUGGCUCUGGUACAAAUGCUGCUUUCCACCCACUGUGAACAAAUUUACUGUGGUAUUUGAGAUGGAAAUUCUUGGAAAUAUGCAGGAAUGCUGUUAGUACAAAUUUCAGGGACACAUUACGGUAACAGAGAAGUCAUUUAGUUUUCCCCUGCAUUUACUAACCACUUUCACAAAGAAUAAUGUUGUCUCCAGUUUUUUACAGUUAAGUGAAACCCAAGCACACUGAGAACUUCAAAUCCCCUUAAUUUAAAAUCAUCAGUGAUUUACCACUUAAUCCAUUAGUCAUGCUUCUGUUGAAACUGGACUAAUACUGGAUGAAGAUACUAUGAAAAAUGCAAAAAUACUGAGUUAAAAUAAAACAUAGAUCUCUUCGCAGAAAAUUUCAUUCAUUUUCUUGGAUUUUCCAGCAGUAAUAAAGGCAAAAAACAUUAUAAAUUCUUCUUUUUUUCCUCUAUAAUCAUGUAAUAGUCAUAUAAAGAUAAUGCCAUAGCCAUAAAUAAUCAAUCUCUUAUGUACACUAGAUGGUGUCAAGUUAAAGGAAAAUUUAAAAAUAAAUGGCAUUUUGUAUGUCAAUGCAGAAAGAAUUGGACAAUUAGGAAAAUCAGCCACCUCUCAUUUCUAGUAUUUCUUGUGCUGUCAGAAAGCUGUAUAUGGGGCUAAACUCCUAUCUCUUACUGUCUCUGAGAGAUUUAAGUUGGCUAAAAUGUUGGCUCCAAAUGAAAAAAUCAGGAUAAACUGUUUAAUAGAAUGUAAUUUUUUGGUUUCUAGGUGAAAUGGAUAAAAGGCACUAGACCAAAUAAACAAACUCAAAACACAACAAGUAAACAACACUACAAUCACUAACAAAAACCAAGGAUGCUGACAUAGGUGAACAAGUAGAGCAAACAGCAAAAAUAGAACUAGUGAAUAUGCAUCAGCUGCAGGGUGAGCAAAUGCAAAGGCCUGAGUUGGGAAAGCUUGCAGUGACCACCAGGGAUCCAACCUCUUGGAGGAUGUAAUUUUGUUUGCUUGGGGAAUGCUAAUAAUGUCUCCCCAUAUGGAUGGAUGAUAUUAUAACCUGAGUAGCUGGAUAAUGAGGUAUACAUUUACAUGCUUUAAGAAAGUAUUUACAUUUGCAAUAUCUCUCACUAACACAACAAAUAUUUAAAAUAGCACAAAAGGUUUCACUUCCUCUGACAGGUCUGCUGUUUUGAAUAAUUGAGCAGUAUUUCUUCUCAUGCUAUGUAGAGGAUUGCUGCGUAAUUCUCUUUUUCUGCUCUUUACAUUGUUGUGAUCAUCUACUCCCCCCUACUCUGGCCAGCUCAGCAGUGCCUCAGAACACAUUCCACAUAUGCCCAAGCACCUGGCUGCAUCAGCUCCAGUGGAGCUCAAUAGCUUGCACUUUUUUCUGUUAAUUUUGUGGUUCUUUCAUUUAAGAGAACCCUUUCACAAUUCAAACAUCAUUUUCUUUUCCAUCAUUGAAUUCAUAUUAAAAAAACUUCUAAGCAUCACUGAUCUUUAUGGGAUGGAUUGUGGAGUCCUGCUCUUUAUUAUGAACACUUCAGACAUCUAUGGC
rnacentral:lncRNA from 1 species